AUCCUACGGGAGGCAGCAGUAGGGAAUCUUCCGCAAUGGACGAAAGUCUGACGGAGCAACGCCGCGUGAGUGAUGAAGGGUUUCGGCUCGUAAAGCUCUGUUGUUAGGGAAGAACAAGUAUCGUUCGAAUAGGGCGGUACCUUGACGGUACCUAACCAGAAAGCCACGGCUAACUACGUGCCAGCAGCCGCGGUAAUACGUAGGUGGCAAGCGUUGUCCGGAAUUAUUGGGCGUAAAGCGCGCGCAGGCGGUCUUUUAAGUCUGAUGUGAAAGCCCCCGGCUCAACCGGGGAGGGUCAUUGGAAACUGGGAGACUUGAGUACAGAAGAGGAGAGUGGAAUUCCACGUGUAGCGGUGAAAUGCGUAGAUAUGUGGAGGAACACCAGUGGCGAAGGCGACUCUCUGGUCUGUAACUGACGCUGAGGCGCGAAAGCGUGGGGAGCAAACAGGAUUAGAUACCCUGGUAGUCCACGCCGUAAACGAUGAGUGCUAGGUGUUAGGGGUUUCGAUGCCCUUAGUGCCGAAGUUAACACAUUAAGCACUCCGCCUGGGGAGUACGACCGCAAGGUUGAAACUCAAAGGAAUUGACGGAAU
rnacentral:rRNA from 1 species